rnacentral:rRNA from 1 species
AUGCAAGUAGAACGCAGAGGAUUGGUGCUUGCACUAAUCUAAUGAGUUGCGAACGGGUGAGUAACGCGUAGGUAACCUGCCUGGUAGCGGGGGAUAACUAUUGGAAACGAUAGCUAAUACCGCAUAAUAGUUUAUGACUCAUGUUAUAAACUUGAAAGAUACAACUGUAUCACUACCAGAUGGACCUGCGUUGUAUUAGCUAGUAGGUAGGGUAACGGCCUACCUAGGCGACGAUACAUAGCCGACCUGAGAGGGUAAUCGGCCACACUGGGACUGAGACACGGCCCAGACUCCUACGGGAGGCAGCAGUAGGGAAUCUUCGGCAAUGGGGGGAACCCUGACCGAGCAACGCCGCGUGAGUGAAGAAGGUUUUCGGAUCGUAAAGCUCUGUUGUUAAGGAAGAACGGGAGUAGGAGUGGAAAGCCUACUUUGUGACGGUAUCUUACCAGAAAGGGACGGCUAACUACGUGCCAGCAGCCGCGGUAAUACGUAGGUCCCGAGCGUUGUCCGGAUUUAUUGGGCGUAAAGCGAGCGCAGGCGGUUAGAUAAGUCUGAAGUUAAAGGCUGUGGCUUAACCAUAGUACGCUUUGGAAACUGUUUAACUUGAGUGCAAGAGGGGAGAGUGGAAUUCCAUGUGUAGCGGUGAAAUGCGUAGAUAUAUGGAGGAACACCGGUGGCGAAAGCGGCCCUCUGG